rnacentral:rRNA from 1 species
CCUACGGGUGGCUGCAGUGGGGAAUAUUGGACAAUGGGGGCAACCCUGAUCCAGCCAUGCCGCGUGUGUGAAGAAGGCCCUCGGGUUGUAAAGCACUUUCAGUGAGGAAGGACGCCUGGUGGUUAAUACCCAUCAGGAAAGACAUCACUCACAGAAGAAGCACCGGCUAACUCCGUGCCAGCAGCCGCGGUAAUACGGAGGGUGCGAGCGUUAAUCGGAAUUACUGGGCGUAAAGCGCGCGUAGGUGGCUUGAUAAGCCGGUUGUGAAAGCCCCGGGCUCAACCUGGGAACGGCAUCCGGAACUGUCAAGCUAGAGUGCAGGAGAGGAAGGUAGAAUUCCCGGUGUAGCGGUGAAAUGCGUAGAGAUCGGGAGGAAUACCAGUGGCGAAGGCGGCCUUCUGGACUGACACUGACACUGAGGUGCGAAAGCGUGGGUAGCAAACAGGAUUAGAUACCCCAGUAGUC